rnacentral:rRNA from 1 species
AUACGUAGGGUGCGAGCGUUGUCCGGAAUUACUGGGCGAAAAGAGCUCGUAGGUGGUUUGUCGCGUCGUCUGUGAAAUUCCGGGGCUUAACUCCGGGCGUGCAGGCGAUACGGGCAUAACUUGAGUACUGUAGGGGACACUGGAAUUCCUGGUGUAGCGGUGAACUGAGCAGAUAUCAGGAGGAACAGCGGUGGCGAAGGCGGGUCUCUGGGCAGUAACUGACGCUGAGGAGCGAAAGCAUGGGUAGCGAACAGGAUUAGAUACCCUGGUAGUCCAUGCCGUAAACGGUGGGCGCUAGGUGUAGGGGUCUUCCACGACUUCUGUGCCGUAGCUAACGCAUUAAGCGCCCCGCCUGGGGAGUACGGCCGCAAGGCUAAAACUCAAAGGAAUUGACGGGG